CUGGUAGUCCACGCCGUAAACGAUGAAUGCCAGCCGUUAGUGGGUUUACUCACUAGUGGCGCAGCUAACGCUUUAAGCAUUCCGCCUGGGGAGUACGGUCGCAAGAUUAAAACUCAAAGGAAUUGACGGGGGCCCGCACAAGCGGUGGAGCAUGUGGUUUAAUUCGACGCAACGCGCAGAACCUUACCAGCCCUUGACAUCCCGGUCGCGGACUCCAGAGACGGAGUUCUUCAGUUCGGCUGGACCGGAGACAGGUGCUGCAUGGCUGUCGUCAGC
rnacentral:rRNA from 1 species